CCUACGGGUGGCAGCAGUAGGGAAUAUUGCUCAAUGGGCGAAACCCUGAAGCAGCAACGCCGCGUGGAGGAUGAAGGUUUUCGGAUUGUAAACUCCUUUUGUUAGAGAAGAUAAUGACGGUAUGUAACGACUAAGCACCGGCCAACUCCGUGCCAGCAGCCGCUGUAAAACGGAGGGUGCAAGCGUUACUCGGAAACUCUGGGCGUAAAGAGCGCGGAGGCGGGAUAGCAAGUCAGAUGUGAAAUCCUAUGGCUUAACCCUAGAACUGCAUUUGAAACUGUUAAUCUAGAGUAUGAGAGAGGUAUGUGGAAUUCUUGGUGUAGGGGUAAAAUGCGUAGAGAUCAAGAAGAAUACUGAUUGCGAAGGCGGCCUGCUAGAACAUAACUGACGCUGAUGCGCGAAAGCGUGGGGAGCAAACAGGAUUAGAUACCCCAGUAGUC
rnacentral:rRNA from 1 species